AGCGAACGCUGGCGGCAGGCUUAACACAUGCAAGUCGAGCGGGCAUCCUUGUGGUGUCAGCGGCAGACGGGUGAGUAACGCGUGGGAACGUGCCCUUCGGUUCGGAAUAACUCAGGGAAACUUGAGCUAAUACCGGAUACGUGCGAGAGCAGAAAGGUUUAUCUGCCGAAGGAUCGGCCCGCGUCUGAUUAGCUAGUUGGUGAGGUUACGGCUCACCAAGGCGACGAUCAGUAGCUGGUCUGAGGGGAUGAUCAGCCACACUGGGACUGAGACACGGCCCAGACUCCUACGGGAGGCAGCAGUGGGGAAUAUUGGACAAUGGGGGCAACCCUGAUCCAGCCAUGCCGCGUGAGUGAUGACGGCCUUAGGGUUGUAAAGCUCUUUUCUCCGGGACGAUAAUGACGGUACCGGAGGAAUAAGCCCCGGCUAACUUCGUG
rnacentral:rRNA from 1 species